rnacentral:rRNA from 1 species
CGGCGGACGGGUGAGUAAUACUUAGGAAUCUACCUAGUAGUGGGGGAUAGCACGGGGAAACUCGUAUUAAUACCGCAUACGACCUACGGGAGAAAGGGGGCAGUUUACUGCUCUCGCUAUUAGAUGAGCCUAAGUCGGAUUAGCUAGAUGGUGGGGUAAAGGCCUACCAUGGCGACGAUCUGUAGCUGGUCUGAGAGGAUGAUCAGCCACACCGGGACUGAGACACGGCCCGGACUCCUACGGGAGGCAGCAGUGGGGAAUAUUGGACAAUGGGGGAAACCCUGAUCCAGCCAUGCCGCGUGUGUGAAGAAGGCCUUUUGGUUGUAAAGCACUUUAAGCAGUGAAGAAGACUCUUCGGUUAAUACCCGGAGACGAUGACAUUAGCUGCAGAAUAAGCACCGGCUAACUCUGUGCCAGCAGCCGCGGUAAUACAGAGGGUGCAAGCGUUAAUCGGAAUUACUGGGCGUAAAGGGAGCGUAGGUGGCUCGAUAAGUCAGAUGUGAAAUCCCCGGGCUCAACCUGGGAACUGCAUCCGAU